rnacentral:lncRNA from 1 species
UACCUGUACGUGUAUGUGUUUGUCUUGAAAAAACAAAACAAGUGGAGUUCUGGGUCUGUGUUUUGCUGACCCUAUUUGGAUGGCUACUUGGUAUAAUCUAUGUGGUAGGGUCCUCACCAAGUGAUCUAUCCAUGAUAAAUUUUCUCAAUUUCACCUCUUCCUCCGCGUACAAUCAUAAUUGUUAAAUUUUGUACUUUCAUUUCUUUAUUAUAUCUCGGCUUCACCAGUUUCUCUGUGAAAUCCUGAAUUCAUCUGAAUUAGGGCUUCUUAUUCAAUCGGUGAUUUUCAAAUUCAUCACUGGUCGGGUCGGGUCGGGUCGGGUCAUGAUUGAUCUUGACCAUCCUUGUUUGUUUGUUAUAUGAUAUCCUUGUUUUUGAGUUAUUAAGCAAGGGUGAUGAUGUUCAUGGUGAUCGGCAGCAGGUGCUCUCAUACUUCCCGCAUAACUGAAAUUAUAAUCACAAGCUUCUUUCGCCACAAGCUGUAGAUCUUUAGUAUUUUCCAUAUAUAUAAUUCUUAUACAACAAAAUAUUAAAAAGGGGUACUUAUCAAGAGCUCCAAAUUCUUGAUUAACGUAAGGAAACAUGGGGCUAUGGGUGUUUCUUGUAAAGGAUCAAGCUUGGCUUUAUAUAUAAAAGAAUAUCUGUGGAAUUUCAAAGCUAUGAUGGCUCGGGGAAUGCUCUACGGUGGUUAUUCUAAUUUCGAUCAGUCACAGAGAGAUGUGUAUUUUUCUAUCGCUAAAGAGCAUCUUAGUUCUCUUUUUGGCCCUUCCUGUUCUUCUUUCAUGGAUACAUAUUCUUAUCUUUUACUUCUAUCUUAUUUGCGAUGACUUUGUUUUUCCUCUAUAUUUGAAUUUUAGAUAGUAAUAGUUGUUAUUAGGCUAGUUUCAUGAUCACAAUUAAGUUUAUUAGUAAAUCAAAUUCUUGCACAAUUAAUUUCUACGAAGUAGUCUCUUUCGUUUCUCUUUCACAUGCAAUGAAUUUUCUAUAUAUGGUUAGUGUUGGUAUAAUUAUGGAUCUUUAAUUCCUUAAAUUUGUGAUAAUGGCUAGCAAUCAAGGGCAGAGACGGUAGGGUUGAAGGGAUUCAUCCAACCGCAGUAGAAUAUUACACUGUUUAUAUAUUGUUAAUUUUUUUUAAUGUAUAUGUAGUAGAUAUUGGACCCAUUCACCUUUCCUUCUGUUUAUUUCUUCAUAGUUUGAACCCUCUUAAGCGAAAAUCUUGCCUACGCCAUUCUCUUCGAUAUAAUAUAUACAAAAUUGAACUCUAUUGGGAUAGAUAUAUUUUUUGGUGAUUGAUUAUGUGUGGUCCGCUUGGCUGAUUUGUUCGGCAAGAUGGGUGUUAACAUAUCAAGUGAUGAAAUUGAAUAUGUAUAGUAAAUUGUAUAUUAAAAGAAAGGUGUAAGUGCAAUAGAUGGUGGUGCAUAAAUAAUCUCUUAAGUGAAGUAUACUAGAUUUUGUCCAAAUUGACACCUUGGUAAUAAUUUGUUCAGUGGAUAUUUUAUAUUUCAGGAUCCAGUUCUAUGCUUAGUUUCCGCGGUAUGAAUGGAGAGAAGAGGUCAUUCUUUGAUUCAUUAGAUUAAGAAGACAAUGAAGCUGAUGAAUUGGGGGAGUAUUUUCAUCAAGAAGAUAAGAAGAGGCGACUUACGGACAACCAAGUCCAGGUUUUUUUAAAAGUGUUUUAGGGAGGAGAACAAACUUGAAACUGAAAGAAAAGUCCAGCUUCCUAAAGAACUAUGUUUGUAGCCUCAUUGUGCACGAUGAAAGGCUAAGAAGCUUGAGAAAGAGUAUGAGGAACUCAAGAAUAGAUAUCACAAUUUGAAAUCAAAUUACAAUACUCUUCUCAAGGAAAAAGAAAAUCUUAGAGUUGAA